CCAGUACUAAAAAGAGAGAGGGAAAUGGGGCUUGGCCGUUUUAGAAGCAUAAACAAGCAUGAAUGUUUUGCAUGUAUUUCUAUUUGAAGUCUCUCAAUAUAAAGCGCCAUCUCUAUCAGCCCAAAAGAUCGCUUCAAAGUGCCAUAUCUUAUUUGAGGUGAGCUUGAAACAGGACCCUGCGGAAUGUGUCGCAGGACAGAAUGAUGAUAAAUUCAUGUGAAGAAAAGCUACGGAAGGAAAGCGGAUCAGAAUUGGUAAGCGAUCACGCAACAAAGAAAAACCGAGGUCAACCACCAUAAAAGGCAACAAGGCGUACCAUUAGGAUCUUCGGGUUUGCUUGAACAAAACUGAGCAAGAAAGAAAACUGACACCCCCAAUCACUCAAAACAACGUGAUCUUGCUGGAUCAAGAAGCCUUUUUUCACCAAGCUAAGGAAUGAAAACCUCAGGUUGGAUCAAGGGAAGAUUCUCUAUAAAGAGCAAAGUAGAGGAGGAAAUUGCAGUCUCAGGCUGGAAGACCUUCCAUAAUGGGAUUUUUAUUAUUUUAAUAAUGUUAUUUUAUAUUGUUUUAUAUAAAUAUAUUAGACUUGGUUGUUGCGAGUGCUUUGUGAGGAAAAACAAAAACUAGUGCUACACAUUACUUCAAAUAGGACACUGUAAAAAUAAACCAUACCUUCCUGUAUGCUGGUUGAUAGGCUUUGGUGCAAUCCUUUUUCUGUUCUGCUUUCCCUAUCUCUCUUGGUAGUUAUAAUCUUCAACUAACCACAAGACAGUUUCUCUUUGAAAAACUAUGCAGAUUGGUGUAGAUUUACAGCAUUUUGCGAGCCCAAUUCCCUCUUGUUUGUAUACUUCAAUCUUCAGUUGAGGCCAAUUUGAAGGAAGAAAUUGGGGAGAGAUGAAGAUAGUUGAAGCAACCAUGAAACCUUGGUUGGGAAGGAAGUACAUUACCUUUCAAGUUUGACAGGAGACAAUCCUUGGAAUAUUCGCUUUAUCUCUAAUCUACUUGCCCUUCAUUUGGCAUAGCUUUAAAUACAAGACAAACCAAA
rnacentral:lncRNA from 1 species